ensembl:misc_RNA Y_RNA Y RNA
GGCUGGUCCAAUGGUAGUGGGUUAUCAGAAUUUAUUAAUUAUUAGUGUCACUAAAGAGGAUAUAAAACCCCCCACUACUAAAUUUGACUAGUUUUAA